rnacentral:tRNA from 1 species
GGGGAUGAAGCUCAGUGGAAGAGCACUUGUUAAGCAUACAGGAGGUACUGUGUUCAAUCCCCAGCACCACUA